rnacentral:rRNA from 1 species
UACAGGCUUAACACAUGCAAGUCGAGGGGCAGCAUGGUCUUAGCUUGCUAAGGCCGAUGGCGACCGGCGCACGGGUGAGUAACACGUAUCCAACCUGCCGUCUACUCUUGGACAGCCUUCUGAAAGGAAGAUUAAUACAAGAUGGCAUCAUGAGUCCGCAUGUUCACAUGAUUAAAGGUAUUCCGGUAGACGAUGGGGAUGCGUUCCAUUAGAUAGUAGGCGGGGUAACGGCCCACCUAGUCUUCGAUGGAUAGGGGUUCUGAGAGGAAGGUCCCCCACAUUGGAACUGAGACACGGUCCAAACUCCUACGGGAGGCAGCAGUGAGGAAUAUUGGUCAAUGGGCGAGAGCCUGAACCAGCCAAGUAGCGUGAAGGAUGACUGCCCUAUGGGUUGUAAACUUCUUUUAUAAAGGAAUAAAGUCGGGUAUGGAUACCCGUUUGCAUGUACUUUAUGAAUAAGGAUCGGCUAACUCCGUGCCAGCAGCCGCGGUAAUACGGAGGAUCCGAGCGUUAUCCGGAUUUAUUGGGUUUAAAGGGAGCGUAGAUGGAUGUUUAAGUCAGUUGUGAAAGUUUGCGGCUCAACCGUAAAAUUGCAGUUGAUACUGGAUAUCUUGAGUGCAGUUGAGGCAGGCGGAAUUCGUGGUGUAGCGGUGAAAUGCUUAGAUAUCACGAAGAACUCCGAUUGCGAAGGCAGCCUGCUAAGCUGCAACUGACAUUGAGGCUCGAAAGUGUGGGUAUCAAACAGGAUUAGAUACCCUGGUAGUCCACACGGUAAACGAUGAAUACUCGCUGUUUGCGAUAUACUGCAAGCGGCCAAGCGAAAGCGUUAAGUAUUCCACCUGGGGAGUACGCCGGCAACGGUGAAACUCAAAGGAAUUGACGGGGGCCCGCACAAGCGGAGGAACAUGUGGUUUAAUUCGAUGAUACGCGAGGAACCUUACCCGGGCUUAAAUUGCAGAUGAAUUACGGUGAAAGCCGUAAGCCGCAAGGCAUCUGUGAAGGUGCUGCAUGGUUGUCGUCAGCUCGUGCCGUGAGGUGUCGGCUUAAGUGCCAUAACGAGCGCAACCCUUGUUGUCAGUUACUAACAGGUUCCGCUGAGGACUCUGACAAGACUGCCAUCGUAAGAUGUGAGGAAGGUGGGGAUGACGUCAAAUCAGCACGGCCCUUACGUCCGGGGCUACACACGUGUUACAAUGGGGGGUACAGAGGGUCGCUACCACGCGAGUGGAUGCCAAUCCCCAAAACCUCUCUCAGUUCGGACUGGAGUCUGCAACCCGACUCCACGAAGCUGGAUUCGCUAGUAAUCGCGCAUCAGCCACGGCGCGGUGAAUACGUUCCCGGGCCUUGUACACACCGCCCGUCAAGCCAUGGGAGCCGGGGGUACCUGAAGUGCGUAACCGCGAGGAGCGCCCUAGGGUAAAACUGGUGACUGGGGCU